rnacentral:snRNA from 1 species
GUAGGAGUGGAGUGGCAGUAUCGUAGCCAAUGAGGUUAAUCCAAGGCGCGAUUAUUGCUAAUUGAAAUUUUUUUCUGUCAUGGUCAAAAUAACUUGACCUUGUCCAUCAA